rfam:Schistosoma curassoni strain Dakar, Senegal genome assembly, scaffold: SCTD_scaffold0000600
AUCCAUCUAACGAGUCUAAAAUAGGACGAAACACGUGUCCUGAAU